CCAUCUUGCGACCGUGUUACAGGGCAGCGAGUGUGCUUGGUGGGGAUAAUUGAGUCACUUGUGGGAGCAUUUACCAUUCUAAGGUGGGACAAAUACUAUCCCUGUUUCUCAGCUGUAGAAACUGGAAUGCUGAAAGGUUAAGCAACGUUCACGAAGUUCCACAGUAGCAGUGUGCUUGUCAUAUUAGUGAUGUGGCCAGUCUGGAAGACUGCAGGGCACUCC